rnacentral:rRNA from 1 species
GACGAACGCUGGCGGCGUGCUUAACACAUGCAAGUCGAACGGAAAGGCCCUGCUUUUGUGGGGUGCUCGAGUGGCGAACGGGUGAGUAACACGUGAGUAACCUGCCCUUGACUUUGGGAUAACUUCAGGAAACUGGGGCUAAUACCGGAUAGGAGCUCCUGCUGCAUGGUGGGGGUUGGAAAGUUUCGGCGGUUGGGGAUGGACUCGCGGCUUAUCAGCUUGUUGGUGGGGUAGUGGCUUACCAAGGCUUUGACGGGUAGCCGGCCUGAGAGGGUGACCGGCCACAUUGGGACUGAGAUACGGCCCAGACUCCUACGGGAGGCAGCAGUGGGGAAUAUCGCACAAUGGGCGGAAGCCUGAUGCAGCAACGCCGCGUGCGGGAUGACGGCCUUCGGGUUGUAAACCGCUUUCGCAUGUGACGAAGCGUGAGUGACGGUAAUGGGUAAAGAAGCACCGGCUAACUACGUG